rnacentral:rRNA from 1 species
AGUGAACGCUGGCGGUAGGCCUAACACAUGCAAGUCGAACGGCAGCACAGUAAGAGCUUGCUCUUACGGGUGGCGAGUGGCGGACGGGUGAGGAAUACAUCGGAAUCUACUUUUUCGUGGGGGAUAACGUAGGGAAACUUACGCUAAUACCGCAUACGACCUACGGGUGAAAGCAGGGGAUCUUCGGACCUUGCGCGAUUGAAUGAGCCGAUGUCGGAUUAGCUAGUUGGCGGGGUAAAGGCCCACCAAGGCGACGAUCCGUAGCUGGUCUGAGAGGAUGAUAGGCCACACUGGACCUGAGACACGGUCCAGACUCCUACGGGAGGCAGCAGUGGGGAAUAUUGGACAAUGGGCGCAAGCCUGAUCCAGCCAGACCGCGUGGGUGAAGAAGGCCUUCGGGUUGUAAAGACCUUUUGUUGGGAAAGAAAAGCAGCAGGUUAAUACCCCGCUGUUCUGACGGUACCCAAAGAAUAAGCACCGGCUAACUUCGUG